GAUGAAGAACGUAGCGAAAUGCGAUAAGUAGUGUGAAUUGCAGACUUUAGUGAAUCAUCGAAUCUUUGAACGCACAUUGCGCCCCUUGGUAUUCCAUUGGGCAUGCCUGUUCGAGCGUCAUUUAACCCCUCAAGCACUGCUUGGUGUUGGGCGUUUUGUCUACGGACUCGCCCCAAAUCUAUUGGCAGCAGCCUUACCAGCUUCUUGCGCAGUACAAUGCGCUUUGAGAAGCCUGUGUAGUGGUGUGCAAUACAGUAAGCAACUCUUUAUUGUGACCUCGAAUCAGGUAGGGAUACCCGCUGAACUAAAGCAUAUCAAUAAGCGGAGGA
rnacentral:misc_RNA from 1 species